UACGGGAGUGGCAAGCGUUAUCCGGAAUUAUUGGGCGUAAAGCGUCCGCAGGCGGCCCAGAAAGUCUGCUGUUAAAACGUGGAGCUUAACUCCAUCAUGGCAGUGGAAACUGUUGGGCUUGAGUGUGGUAGGGGCAGAGGGAAUUCCCGGUGUAGCGGUGAAAUGCGUAGAUAUCGGGAAGAACACCAGUGGCGAAGGCGCUCUGCUGGGCCAUAACUGACGCUCAUGGACGAAAGCCAGGGUAGCAAAUGGG
rnacentral:rRNA from 1 species